UACGAAGGGUGCAAGCGUUACUCGGAAUUACUGGGCGUAAAGGGUGCGUAGGUGGUCUUUUAAGUCUGUUGUGAAAUCCCUGGGCUCAACCUGGGAAUGGCAGUGGAUACUGGAAGGCUAGAGUGCGGUAGAGGGUAGUGGAAUUCCCGGUGUAGCAGUGAAAUGCGUAGAGAUGUGGAGGAAUACCGAUGGCGAAGGCAGCCCCCUGGGCCAAUACUGACGCUCAUGCACGAAAGCGUGGGGAGCAAACAG
rnacentral:rRNA from 1 species